UCUUUUGUCAGUCCAGCAGUCAAGACUCUGCACUUCUACUGCAGGGAGCACAGGUUCAAUCCCUGGUUGAGGAA
rnacentral:tRNA from 1 species